rnacentral:rRNA from 1 species
AUACGGAGGGUGCAAGCGUUAAUCGGAAUUACUGGGCGUAAAGCGCACGCAGGCGGUUGGUUAAGUCAGAUGUGAAAUCCCCGGGCUCAACCCGGGAACUGCAUUUGAAACUGGCCAGCUUGAGUCUCGUAGAGGGAGGUAGAAUUCCAGGUGUAGCGGUGAAAUGCGUAGAGAUCUGGAGGAAUACCGGUGGCGAAGGCGGCCUCCUGGACGAAGACUGACGCUCAGGUGCGAAAGCGUGGGGAGCAAACAGGAUUAGAUACCCUGGUAGUCCACGCCGUAAACGAUGUCUAUUUGGAGGCUGUGAGCUUGACUCGUGGCUUCCGGAGCUAACGCGUUAAAUAGACCGCCUGGGGAGUACGGCCGCAAGGUUAAA